rnacentral:lncRNA from 1 species
AUGCAAAGGCUCCCUUUAAACAAGAGCUUAGCGCUGCAGUGUUGUUUGCAGGGCAGCAGCUGUGUGACAGUCGCUGGAGGACGGGGUGUUACAGCUAAAUUGAUACGAGGUGAUGCUGGGAGUGGAGCCAUCAGAUGUGAAAGCAAAGCGUCUCGGGGACUGUGCAGCAAACCACUGUGGAAUGAAGACCCAAUUCAGCAAUGUUCUGUGAUGCUGCCGGAGAUGCGUGGACUGAGCUCAGACCGCAGGCUGCCCGAGCCCGCCCUCUGCCCGGCUGCAGGGAGCCCUGAGCCCGUGGCCGCGGGCCGCCGCCGACGCCACGUGCUGGCCCUGCCAGAGGAGGAGGCAUGGCGGCCCCAGCAAUGCACCCUGCUCGAGGCCGAGGCCUCAGAAGAGGUGGGCAUGCUGCCAGCCUCCCCGCGUGCCGCCUCCGGCUUCGGCUUCGACAACUUCUUCCCGGUGCAGGAGGGCGAGGGCCCGGGCUGGGAGGGCGCUGUGGCGCUGGAGGCGGGCUCCAGCCCCUUCCUCCCGGUGAGCCCCGAGGUCAUGAAGCGGCGGCGCGGGGGCCUCAUCGAGCAGCGGGACAUCAUCAAGGCCCACGAGGCACACAAGAUGCAGAGCACUCCGCAGGCCCGGCGGAAGGAAUGGGAGUGA